UACGGAGGGAGCUAGCGUUGUUCGGAAUUACUGGGCGUAAAGCGCGCGUAGGCGGCUUUGUAAGUUAGAGGUGAAAGCCCGGAGCUCAACUCCGGAACUGCCUUUAAAACUGCAUCGCUUGAAUCCGGGAGAGGUGAGUGGAAUUCCGAGUGUAGAGGUGAAAUUCGUAGAUAUUCGGAAGAACACCAGUGGCGAAGGCGGCUCACUGGACCGGCAUUGACGCUGAGGCGCGAAAGCGUGGGGAGCAAACAGG
rnacentral:rRNA from 1 species